rnacentral:lncRNA from 1 species
UUUUAAAUCGGAAGUUGAAGAAGAAGGAGGAGGAGGAGCGGGAUUGAGCUGCUUAUCAAGUUCAAGAACAGAUUUGACGGGGCUACGACGGAGGCUAGCUGGAGAAACAAACGGCGUCAAUCUGCGAUUGUACCUCUUUGAUUUGCGGCGGAAAGGCGCAAAGUCAACGAGCAACUGACGGUUACCGAUCGGAGUGAAUGUAUCGGAGAGACGCAACACUUGAGAAACCGACGACACCGUGUGCAGCGCCAUCGCGAGAGUGAGAGAGAAAGUGUGUGGUAAGUGUUUGAAUAAAUGAUUGUGUGAGUGAGAAUGAAGUAAUGAAGAUAAAAAGAAAAAGAGAGAGAGGUCACAAAAUGCUUAGCUCACACACACCACCAACUUCUCAUUCCUUUCCAUCUUGGUUUGUUAAAUGCUAAAUGAGCACACUCUCUAUCACUGAGUUUUUUUUCUCUGUGGUGUGGUCUACGCUAACACGAUGCGCUGCCUCCGUUCCAUCAUACUUGUUUCCUGUCUUAUUGGAUAAAAAAAGGAUAACGUUACAGCAGGAAUUAUGCUACUUUUUACUUUUCAACCAAUCAAAUUCUAAUUCCAUACGUAAAGUACAAAAUACUGUGUAAUUAUAAUGAUUCUUAUUUUUUUACUCAAAAAUAUUGAAUUUGUAAAAAUUAUUAUCUAUAGGAAAUGGAAAUUUGUAUUUGUAAUAUAAUACUGGAUGGGUGAGAGUCGGACAUAAACUAAUACUGAAUGAUAUCGUAUGCAGAGGAUUAUUGCUUCAAGCGAAGACGCUCCCCUAGAAGAAUCAUUGAUGUUCACAUGUUUAUUUAAUGCUAUUUAUCGUCAUAAUUUGUCAUAAAUUAUUUGCUUUUUUUAUUGAUCACGUCAAAAAGAUUAAUGAAUCGCGCUCAUUUUAAUAGACAACUUCCAGUUCCGUAAACAAAAUCCGCUUCGCGGGAAUGAUUGUUAUUUCUCGGUAGCCGUUGAUCAAGUAAAGGAAACUUGAUCCUUUACUAUAGGUAGUUUUAUUAAAUAUUAUUUAUAUUUAUCACUAAUAAAUAUAAAAUAAGAUGUAUUAAAUUAAAAGUGAUAUAUAUAUAUAUAUAUAUAUAUAUAUAUAUAUAUNNNNNNNNNNNNNNNNNNNNNNNNNNNNNNNNNNNNNNNNNNNNNNNNNNNNNNNNNNNNNNNNNNNNNNNNNNNNNNNNNNNNNNNNNNNNNNNNNNNNNNNNNNNNNNNNNNNNNNNNNNNNNNNNNNNNNNNNNNNNNNNNNNNNNNNNNNNNNNNNNNNNNNNNNNNNNNNNNNNNNNNNNNNNNNNNNNNNNNNNNNNNNNNNNNNNNNNNNNNNNNNNNNNNNNNNNNNNNNNNNNNNNNNNNNNNNNNNNNNNNNNNNNNNNNNNNNNNNNNNNNNNNNNNNNNNNNNNNNNNNNNNNNNNNNNNNNNNNNNNNNNNNNNNNNNNNNNNNNNNNNNNNNNNNNNNNNNNNNNNNNNNNNNNNNNNNNNNNNNNNNNNNNNNNNNNNNNNNNNNNNNNNNNNNNNNNNNNNNNNNNNNNNNNNNNNNNNNNNNNNNNNNNNNNNNNNNNNNNNNNNNNNNNNNNNNNNNNNNNNNNNNNNNNNNNNNNNNNNNNNNNNNNNNNNNNNNNNNNNNNNNNNNNNNNNNNNNNNNNNNNNNNNNNNNNNNNNNNNNNNNNNNNNNNNNNNNNNNNNNNNNNNNNNNNNNNNNNNNNNNNNNNNNNNNNNNNNNNNNNNNNNNNNNNNNNNNNNNNNNNNNNUAUAUAUAUAUAUAUAUAUAUAUAUAUAUAUAUAUAUAUAUAUAUAUAUAUAUAUAUAUAUAUAUAUAUAUAUAUAUAUAUAUAUAUAUAUAUAUAUAUAUAUAUAUAUAUAUAUAUCACUUUUAAUUUAAUAUAUAUAUAUAUAUAUAUAUAAGGAUGGAGUCAGAAAUUUUAAGUAGUGGGGGCAUCAUAUAUUAAUAUGAAUAUCUAACCUAUGAUAUAUUUAUCAUUUAUUUUUUUAAAGCAGAACUAUUAUCGUAUUUAAUUUUUGUAAGAUAUUUUUUUGAUAAAAUGUUUAAUAACUUUCUCAAUUUUUUUAUUUGUAUAAUUUUUUUAAUUUUAUUAUCAAUAAAAAUAUUUAUCUAUUUAUAUCUACAUAUAAAUAAUUAAUGAAGGACAAUUGUUUGCAAUCUUUUGUAAUGAUAUUUUAGUGUUAAAAUUAAAAUAUAUAAAAAAUAAUAAUUUUAAUAAAAAUAUUGUGAAAAAUUGUUUUAAAAUUAAGCAUAAAAUAAAUUUGAUUAUAUUUUAGAUGAAUAUAUUUUAGUUUUAAAAUAAACAUUUAAAAUUAAAAACUCACAAACAUCUUAAAGAGGACCAUAAAUAACAAUAUAUUCAUAAUAAAAAUAUCUUUCAAUUAAUUAAUAUAUUAUGCUAUUUUAGACAAAUAUUUUUUAUUUAUUACUAAAUAAAUGUAUAAAGAUGAUAUUUAAUUUUUUUAAAAUAUAGUGGGGGCACAUGCCCCAUUCCCACCCACUUGCCUCCGUCCCUGUAUACAUAUAAUUAAGAAAAUAUAUAAUUACCGAACUUAAAUACAUAAUUGGUCCACAAAUAUUAAUAACUUUUUAUUUUGUUUAGUUCAAUAUACGAUUGAUAGAUUUCGUCUAAUUCGACUAUAUCUUCUUUUAUUUCUAAUUUUAACUAUAGUGAAAGUAUAUGUAUGUUUUGAUUCCCUUUAUCAUUUUUAUGUACUACUUGUGACUCAUAUGUAUAAUUUUUAUUGUUUUAUUUAAUGGGUUGUUUGUUUAUUGUGGUUUGUUUGUGAUAUUUAUUUUUAUGAUUCAUUUGUAAGUUUAUAAUAGAGUUGUCGUGACAUGACAUGACAUGUGUAAGAUAAAAAAAAAAAAAUUUAUUUUUUAGAUAAAUUAGGUAUUUUGUGUGUUAUUUUUUAGCUAGAUUAUGUUAUGGACAGGUCAAAUGUCUAAUAGAUCAAGGUCCAAUCCAUCUCAACAUCACUCUAUUCGGUUUAAAAUAUAAAAAUAAUCCACAUGUCAUGAUGAUAACAUGAAAUAAUAUCACACUUUUGGACUCGAUUUAAUUAAAUUAUAUUAUUAUUUGUUUCGAUUUAUUUUAUAUUAUUCGAUAUUACUUGGUAUUUUCCUUCUAUUUAUUUCAGGUAACACUUAUUUGAAGCAUACGUGGAAAAAGAAAAGAAAUGGGCAAAAGAGGAUGAAAAAGCAUUUCACUAAGCCCAGCCCACAAAGAGGCGCUGAACCCUGGACGACCCCACACAAGGCGUGACGAGCGUAUCCGCCCCCUCUAAUGUUACGGCUCCACCCAUUCCUAUAUUUUGGUUUGCGCGAGAAGGACGUUAUCCUUUUCUCGCUUGACAUAGCUCGUUGAACCUAUGAAUGGACUUUUGAAGACGGUCAAACUUGAUGGAUUGUGAUAUAAUAGGACCAAUUGUGAACCCUGCAGGUUCUGCUACAUUUUCAAUUUUCGCACGCUGCAUUUUUUUACUACUCUUAUUUUUCAAGCACUCUACUUCUAGCAAUUUUUAUUUCCUUUCUUUAGCGACAUUAAUUUAUUUCCACAAACAGUUUCUACACCGGACUAUUGGUAUCUUUUACUGGAUCACCUAUGUUAGUCUAUACUUUAUUCCUUCGUUUUAUUUUCUCUCUGAUCGAGAAUUGGAAGACAAUCCAACGGGUUUGUGGAUGUUCAAAGCAUCGAAGCUAGGAUAAUAGAUUUCUAUUGAUUUUACAGGUUCUGUUAUAUUUAUGUUUUAAUUCAUAUAUAUGCCUCAUAUUUUGUUUAUCUAUACAUAUUUCUGAUAUGGCUGUAUUUAAGUUUAAUUUUGUUUUAGACUUGUUUUACCAUGUCCGGCGUAAAUAACUUGAUAUCGUAGUAAGUAGCGAAUGAAGGGAAUCAACUAAGUUGGUUUUAAUUAUUUAAAUUAUAAGUCAUUCGUUUUAUGGUCUGAAUUUAGCAGAUAGUUACCAAAGUUUUUACGAGAUAAAGACAUAAGAAGUUAAAAUCAUAGAACGACCGGUUUGUCAGCUUUUAACUGGACAGUUGUAAAUGGCAUUAUUAAUCAGGUGCGAGAGCCAAUUUUUAAGGUUAAUUAAAUUCUAAUACUUUUUAAAAAAGUAUAUCUUUUAAGGUUAAAUGUGAGACGAGGAUUAAGCAUUUAGGUUUAAUCAUUCAUCUUAAAGUCAACAGAGCCGGAGAUUUGAGACGAGGGUGUUUAAACAGUUUGUUUUUCUUAAAAGAGUUUCUAAAAGAUUAUAUUGUUUCAAAAGUGAUUUUAGACUUAACUAAAUAGUGAGAGUACGUUAAUUUAAAGUCUAGUUUUAUUCAACAGAGCUGGAGUUUGAGAAAGACUUUUAAUCAAUAGUGUCUACUGAAAGGACUUAUUUAAAACAAGAACCAACGAAGAUUAUUCCCUAUUACGACGAACUACAUACCGAUAUCCGCUGUAUCUCUUACAUUUAAUUCAGAUCUUAUUUUAGUUUACUUUUCCCCCAAUCAUCAAAACAUCAUCCGCCUUAGCUUUACGAAGUAACCUUAGAAAAACGGUAUAAUCGAUUCAUAAUCCCUGUGGUGAUCGAUAUCUUUUAAAACUACGCGAUUAGACUGUGCACUUCAGUUAAUACCCCACAUCAUAAAGUCGCGAUCAAGUUUUUGCGCCGUUGCCGGACUUUAUUUACUCGAUAUCGGAACUCUUCCUUACGCUGUAGAGACUAAGGCAAUUUUUAUUUCUUCUUUCGUAUUUGUAUGCCACACACUCGUUCACAAGGCGAACGUACACUUACGAAUUCAACGACGGUUGAACGAUAUCUCCGAGUCUUACGACGAAUUCGGAGUAUCGUACUGCAAACAAUCUUCCUCCAAUUGAAAUUUUUAUCUUAAAAAUCUUCUUCCUUCGCAUACCGAGAUGGCAGAACAGCUCGUGCUCUUCGAGAUUACGCCGCUCCAUCGCAAGAUGAGCCGCAUUCGAGUAUUGCUCCACCCGCAAUUGAAGCAAAACAACUUCGAACUUAAACCUUCGCUGUUACAAGCAGUUUACAACAGAUCAAUUCUUGGAAAUCCUACCGAGGAUCUAAACUUCAUUUAUCCGUAUUUGUCCAAUACGUUGAUACUGUUAAAGCUAAUGGUGUCACUUCAGAGCGAUUCGACUUCGUCUUUUUCCUUCUCGUUAAGAGAUAAAGCUAGAGAUGCUUCAGUCUCUUCCUUCCAACUCAGUCACCACAUGGAAUGAGUUGAAGAAAGUCUUCUUGCCCGAUAUUUUCUCCCAAGCAAACAACUAUGUUAAGAGCCCAGAUAAAUGGAUUUAAACAGAAAGAUAACGAGAUCUUUUCGAAGCAUGGGAAAGAUACAAAGACAUGAUAAGACUUUGUCCACACCAUGUUUAAGGACUGUUAGUGAUUCAUACCUUCUAUAAUGGUCUCUUAUACAACACAAUAACAAUAGACGCCGCCGCAGGUGGCCCGUCGCUUAUGGAUAAACCUUACACCGAUGCUUAUCAACUUAUCGAAGCAUGGCCCAGAACCAUAUCAAUGGGGAACACCGAACAAUGGUAGAGAAACCUCAAACGAAAAGUGCAUACAGAUAAGUAGCCUUGAUCAUGUUAAUGCAAAAGUGGAUGCUCUUGCCCAGAAAAUUGAAAGUUUAAAUGUAUCACCUCCAGCCACCGUGGUUGCCGUAACUCAAAAUUGCGAAGUCUGUGGAAUCAAAGGUCACACUCCUACAGAUUGUCAACUCCUAACAGGAAUCCAAGCAGAGCAAGUGAAUUAUGCUCAAGGAAAUCCCUACUCGCAUACCUAUAACUCAAACUGGAAGAAUCAUCCUAAUUUUCAUACAAGAGUAAUAAUGCUUUAUACGCACCAGGUCAAUCUCCCAGUCAAGCCCCAGCUAUACCUCCUGGAUAUCAAAAGCCGACCCCAUCUACACCUAACAAUAACGUUUCUAGGAAAUCCAACUUGGAAAUCAUGAUGGAGAACUUCAUAGCUUCUCAACAGCAAACUAAUAAAGAGUUCUUAAACCAGAAUGUACACACUAACGAACAGAUUAAACAACUAGCAAGUAAAGUAGAUGCCUUGGCUACCCAUAACAAAAUGUUGGAAACACAAAUCUCACAAGUAGCUCAACAACAAGCGCCUACUACUGCCCCAACUGGUACAUUUCCUGGACAGCCCCAACCUAACCCAAAAAGCCACGCUCAUGCAAUUAUAUUAAGAAGUGGAACAGAGGUAGAAGGACCAUCUGACCCAAGAAUAGAAAACCAAAACUCUAAAAAGUCAACUGAGGAAGAAAAUAAACCUAAGUAAAAGGAAGAGAGUAAUAAGGAAACCAUAGAAAAGAAAGAACCUUAUGUACCUCCACCGCCUUAUAAACCACCUAUCCCUUAUCCUCAAAGGCUAAUUAAAACCAAAGACGCGGGUCAAUUUAAAAAAAUUGUUGACCUACUGAAACAAUUAAACGUCACAAUUCCGUUUACAGAAGCUAUUACGCAGAUGCCCUCAUAUGCUAAGUUUUUAAAAGAAAUUCUUUCUAAUAAAAUGAAACUUGAAGAAAGCGAAACCGUUACACUCACUGCUGAGUGUAGCGCUAUAAUCCAGAAUAUGCCUCCAAAACUUAAAGAUCCUGGUAGUUUCUCUAUACCCUGUCACAUAGGAAAAUUUGUCAUAGAUAAAGCCUUAUAAAGCCUUAUGCGAUUUAGGAGCCGGUAUCAGUGUUAUGCCCUUAUCCAUAUGCAAGAAACUGGAAAUGGGAGAAUUAAGACCAACUAAAAUGUCUGUGCAAUUAGCAGAUCGUUCCGUUAGAUAUCCUGUAGGAAUUCUUGAAAACAUUCCAGUGCGCAUAGGUCAAUUCUACAUUCCAACCGAUUUUAUAAUUAUGGACAUAAGGGAAGAUGAAGUUACACCCAUUAUAUUGGGAAGACCAUUCUUAGCAACCGUCGGUGCCAUCAUAGACGUAAAACGAGAACGACUCACUUUCGAAGUAGGAGAAGAGAAAAUUGAGUUCAUUCUUUCCAAAUUUUUGAAGGCACCUGCAAUAGAAGAUACAUGUUACUUCAUGGAUAUCAUCGAUGAAUGCAUAAAAGAAACAGAAUUAGAAAAUGACAAAUUGUCUGACUAUCGUGUAGAAAACAGACUUAACCAAUGUUUAGCAAUAACAUCGGAUCCUACGCAAUGCCUUAAGAAACCAACCCUCGACCUGAAAACACUUCCCAAAAAUCUGAGAUAUGAAUUCCUAGACUUAGAACUUGAACGACCAGUAAUAGUAAAUGCAGACCUAGGAAAACUCGAAACCGAAAAACUCCUACAUAUCUUAAGAAAAUAUCCAACCGCACUAGGAUACAACAUCACCGAUCUUAAAGGGAUAAGUCCUUCUAUUUGUAUGCACCAAGUAAAUGCAGACCUAGGAAAACUCGAAACCGAAAAACUCCUACAUAUCUUAAGAAAAUAUCCAACCGCACUAGGAUACAACAUCACCGAUCUUAAAGGGAUAAGUCCUUCUAUUUGUAUGCACCGCUGUAUACAUACGUUUUCGACGCCAUGAGAUUUGGUGUGCAGAAUGAGUCUUUCGGCAAAUGACAACGUGGGAUAAACGGUUUGGUUGAUAAGUGUUGUUCGACACUUCGACAAAAUUGAAGCUUCGCCAUUUCGACAAGAUAUCUGCAGCUGGAAAAGUACCUUUGACAAACAUGGAGAACAUUGUAAUAUAUCGACAAUUCGACAAAGCCUGGAGAAAGACGUCAGUUCGACGUGAAGUGUAAAUUUCAAAUUCGAAAGAGUCGUGACGUUUGGCAGAACACGCGUGGAAGCAUCUGACGAAAGGAAGAAAGCCAUGUGUCACGAUUUUAGGAUUUGGUAGUUAGUAACAGUUAUGUUAUUUGUAUAUAAAUAGGGUAGUUGUUAUCGAAAAAGGUGUGAAAAAUUACUUGUACAAAAUUCCUGAAAAUACUCAAAGUACCCGUGUGAGAGAAAAGAGUCAUAUUUGGAACAUGUAUGUGUAAACAAACACCAAUUCUUUCAAAGUUAUAUUUUACAAAGUUUAAAGCUCUUUACAAAUUCCCUUUACGCUUUCCAGUCUAUUAUCUUUCUGCACUUUCUUUUCGACACUUUACAUUUCGUCAGUUAUUUUCUGCCAUUUAUCUUAUCUUGUCAAAUUUACAUCUAUUUAAACGUUUUUAAUCAACAUCUUUCGACAUAAAACAUUUAGAGAACCAAAAUGAAAGAUACAAAAGUUAUUCUAGAUAUCUUCAAGGUCAUCUAGAUCUGUACAUAUCCUAGGAUUUGUGUGGUUGGUCCUGCAAGUAACCCAAUUCUACAGGUUUUGGUAAACCAGAGGUUGUUCGCCAAAAUUCACAGCAAACAAAUUGGCAUGCCCAGUGGGACAGUGCAGAAAUCUAGAAAUACCUAAAAUGAAGCCGGUAAAUUAGCCGUAUCCGACGUAGAAAUACCUAAAAGAACGAGAGUAAGGAAAAUGGCGAAUCAGCCAAAUAAUUCAAAUAAUUCUAAUCCAAAUGAAGCCGUCCCAGUAUCCAACCUUGUCCCUUCGAUAGGAGGCAACGUAGGAUCAGUCCCGGUGUCAGAGGCUAUACCUUCAUCAACAGGAUCAAUACCAGCGGUUUCAAUAUCGCAAAAUGCGCCUAGUUCGUCCUUCAGGGCACAACAAAUGCCCGUUGGGACACCCUCUCCUAUGGGAAAUACUUCUAGGCCCUUUGUGACAAAUUUCACCAUGCCUCUGCCUGGUAGGGAACAACCAUUUGGAAUGCCAACUUCAGUAAUGGCAAAUCUACACAAUUCCCCAGUAGUGUAUUAUGAUUCUAUGGCCAAUAUGUCUUCACCUUUACAAGGGUCAGGAUAUGGAGGGAACAUGAGUAGACUAAAUCAACAACCACUUUACGUGUCGCCGAUAACAAAUAAUUCGGCGCAAGUAAUUAGACAACAAAUGGACGAGAGUAAUCAUGAUAUGGUCCAAAUGUUGACACAACAAAUGGGAGCGGUGUUUAACCCCCUAAAUACAAAACACCACCCAAACACAAACCAAUUGGCAGCAAAUGAUGGCGCAUUGCUGACUUUUCGGGUCCCUCAAACUCGAAGGGGUUCAUAACCCAGGGGUAGCGGUCCAAGAAGAGCCUACGAUAAACCAAAUACCGUUAGACAAUCCUCAGAUAAACGUCAGGAACCAAGAGGAUGUAGUCGAACAGCCUCGUGUCGAAAUCCCUGUACCACAAGAGCCUAGAAGGAUAGUAAUCCAGAGAGGCCAAGAUGCGAAUGCUGUGUUGCAACAACGGAUACGAUAUAAUAAUUCGCCUAUCGAAAACAACUUGGCAGCCAUGGUCGAAACGAUAAUGGCACAAAAUGGGAUGAACAUGGGACUGCAAAGGCCUAGUUACGCUUCCCCGUUGUCAGAAUAUAUUCUGCAAGAAGAACUGCCACCAAGAUGGAAAGUCCCCAAGUUCACAAAAUUCUCAGGAGACACUAGUGAGUCCACCAUAGAACAUGUGGCACGUUAUCUGAUCGAAGCAGGAGAAAUAGCCCGUAACGAAAAUUUGAAAAUAAAAUAUUUCCCCAGUUCCUUGACAAAAAACGCGUUUACAUGGUUUACAUCUUUGCCUUCAAACUCGGUAUAUACGUGGACCCAAUUAGAGAGGUUGUUCCAUGAACAAUUUUACAUGGGACAAAUGAAAAUAAGUCUGAAAGAAUUAGCCAGUGUUAAGAGAAAACACUCAGAACCAAUAGACGAUUAUUUAAAUAGGUUCAGAUUACUAAAGGCUAGAUGUUUCACUCCGGUGCCGGAAACAUGAUAGCGAAAUGGCCGACAGGGGACUAGAUUAUUCUAUAAGGAAAACUAGAUACCCAGUAUCUUAGGGAUAUGGCACAAUUAGCAGAUAAAGUGAGACAGGUCGAAAGGUUAAGACGAAAAAAUCAGAGCAAAUAAGAAUAAAAAGGAAAGGUGGCCUACGUAGGGUUCGCAAAGAAAUGAUGAGUACGACGAAAACGAACCAAGUACUCAACGAAACAAGAGAUUGACCUAGCAGAACUGAAGCAAGGCCAUCUAUCGUGCAAAGUAUUAACUCCGUCGAAUGGAAACCCAAUCGAAACCAACGAUAAGUUCCCCAAAAGGACUUAUACAUUCGACAUCACCAAAAUGAGCGGAAAUUUUCGAUCUGUUGGUUAAAGAUGGUCAAUUAAUAAAACCUCCAGGCGCUAAAGAACCGCCUAUGGAACAACAGAAAAAGAGAGGUUUUUGUAAAUACCAUAAUUUUCUAGGCCAUAAAACGUCUUGUUGUUUCCUUUUCAGGGAUCUCGUUCAAAAUGCUAUCCGUGACGGAAGGCUGAAGUUUGGUGACAAGCCAAAACAGCAGAUGAGGGUCGAUUCAAACCCCAUGCAGCCAGUCGAAGCCCACUACGCUGAACCAUCCAUCGUGAACAUGGUGGAGAUCGAAGUUGCUCCUGAUGGCAAUUUGGAAAUGGUGGAGGCUCCUGGAAGUUUCGACACAAACAUCAACAUGGUUGAGAUUUCUGAUGAUCUCACAAGCCAGAACGAAGUGGAAGUUACUGAAGGCUUCGACAACUAGAAAAGGAUGGAAACUACCGAGGGUUUCGACAAGAAGGACAGUGAUGAUACUGUCGAAGAUGUGAAGUUUCGACAAGAAGAGAACUGGGACCGCUUGGGACAACCAAGUGGGAAGUAUGAUUAUCUCGUGAAGUACAAUGUGCCUGCAAGCUCUCAGAUCGACAUCAACACAAUCCAACCAAGCGGUUGGUGAGAUGUUUCUUCAGACAACAAUGAAGAAACAGUUGAGGAAAAGAAGGUUACUGAAGACCUCAUUAUUGAAAACAAGGCUGCUGAAGGCCUUGAUCCUGACCAAACGAAGAAAGGUGAUGUCGCAAACUGCGUCAACACUAUGGGGCCUUUCAGUAAAGAAGUCACAAAAAUCAAAGCGGAAGCUGCUAACGGUCCUUCGAAGCCUGUGGUCAGUGGGAUUCUGCGUAGGACAAUGGAAGACCCCAGAAGAAAUUGGAACAAAUGUUGUUGCAAACAUGGUCCCAAGAACAUAUCUUGGUGCUGCUGCCCAGAGAAAGAGUUCGACCAAACACCAAAAGGCAUCGAAGGCGAAGAAUAGAGACUCAUUAGGAAGAUGAAGGAAUUAAGCAUCGCUGACGAACGAAGUGUUGGGGUAAAUAUGGUGGAAAUAUCUCAGAGGGACCAGGCCGAAGUGGGCGAAGAUCAUCGUCGAAAGGAGUACCAAAGGCUGGCGUAUCCAAAAGAAGAGGAAAACUUAAUAGAAUUCAUCAAGAGGUGCCAAAGGAUGAAAACCGAAGUAACGCUAUGCCCACGCUGCAGUGCAAUCUUUGACAGAAAGGCAGCGACCAACCUGGAAGCAGUGGAUAAAACCAAGAGGAAAGAAAAUUGGGGAACAGUAAGAUAUGACCCAAGGAGAAGUGAUCACCACCAGUGGAGGCAUGGAGAAAGACGCCACAACACCUAUAAACCGUCUAACAAAGCAACGGACGACAAAUGGGUUCAACCCAUUAGAGAUGCCCAAGGGCAGAAAAAAUGGGGAAAAUUUGAGGUUCAGAGAGGCGCUUCGAUGGAAUGCAAGAAGGAAAUGGAAAAGCACAAGCCAAGACCAUAUCCUUCAGAGAAUUACAAAGGCAAAAACCCCAUGUCCAGAUCCCAAUGAAGGAGGUUCCAGAGGCAGAAGAGGGCAGAAAUAGAGGCUGCAGAAAAGUACAUGAAUGGAAAGGGCGAAGCAGAAUCUAGCAACAAUCGUCAGACAAGGAGCAGAAAAGAGACUCCCUUCCAGAUCAAUCCUGGCAGCACUGUCGAACCAGUGGCGUCGAAGGCGAAGAUGCAGUAAGAUGACGAAAUAACUGACAACUUCGAAUCUGACUCAGAAUCAUCCUUCAACGUGAUCUGCAACGUGGUCUCUGUUCUCCCUAGAGACUAUGAUAGAGUCACGGAGGUCGAAGACGAAGAAGACGAGAUGGAAGAGGAAACAAUGGCACACAGGCCCGUCUGUUACUACGUGAUGAAUAAUGGGUGCGUCGAAGAGCAGAAUGCUUUCUUCGAAAGACCAGAUGACUCCAUGAAAGCGCAUUUGAAACCUUUGUUCAUAAAAGGAAAGGUGGAGAAUGUUGGUGUGAAUAAGAUACUGGUGGAUGGGGGAGCAGCAGUGAAUCUGAUGCCCCAUUACAUGCUGAAGAAGAUUGGAAAAGACGAUUCAGACGCGAAACCUCACAACAUGGUGCUGUCGAAUUAUGAAGGAAACGUAGGAACCACCAUGGGCGUUAUCCAAGUAAAUCUGACGGUCGGAACCAUAACAAGGCCAACGAUGUUUAUGGUUAUCGCUUCGAGGGCAAACUACAACCUACUGCUGGGAAGGGAGUGGAUUCAUGGCGUAGGAGUCGUACCCUCUUCGAUGCAUCAGCGAAUAGCCAUAUGGAGGCCAGACGGGAUCGUCGAAAACAUUGAGGCUGAUCAAAGCUACUUCAUGACAGAGAUAAACAAUGUCAACAGCCAAAGCUUCGACAAGAACCUGGCUCACAUACCUCCAUGCAGUCCAGCCGAAUUCGACUUAAAGGCGACAGACAAUGCCUACUGCUCCAUGUACCUUCAUCCUACGCAUGGUUUCCAGUGGGAUAAAGAAGUGAUUGGCGAAACUUACAUGUGGGGAACUACUCACAUAGCGCCAACAGGAUGGGGAAGCGAAUUGACGAUGACGAGUAAAGAAUCAGCGCUCGAAAAAAUUACGGCUUACAUAGCUGAAAACAAACUCAAAGAGGCCCUUGAGGCUGAAGUAAAAUACAUGGCUGUCAAAGCCAACAAAGAAAACUCCGACAAACAAUGUCCCCAAAGAGACGUUGCAGAAGAUCAUGAUAACAACCAAAUGGGCGAAUGGCAACACCAAAAGCUUGACGCCAUUUAUGACGAUGAACCUCUAGGGUUCAAAAAGGAUCCAGUGUUAACUAACGAGAAGAUGGUGGUGCAGGAUCCGUUGGAAGAAAUAAACUUAGGAGUGGGGGCAGAACAUAGACCAACCUACAUAAGCGCGAGAAUGGACCCCCAGUUCAAAGUCGAAAUAGUCCAGUUGCUGAAAGAAUUCAAAGACUGUUUCGCGUGGGACUACGACGAAAUGUCUGGUCUAGACAGAAGUCUGGUCGAAUUGCAGUUGCCAAUAAUGGAAGGAAAGAAGCCAGUAAAGCAGAUUCCAAGACGCUUCGCACCAGAGAUUCUGUCGAAAAAUUUUCUUCUCCAGCUUUCUGAAGAUUUUACGUUCAAGUUCCGCACAACCAGGUAUGUCGAAUGGAUUGCAAAUAUUGUUCCUGUAAUUAAGAAAAAUGGCAAACUUAGGGUAUGCAUUGAUUUUCGCGAUUUAAACUCGGCUACCCCAAAGGAUGAAUAUCCUAUGCCAGUGGCAGAAAUGCUGAUAGAUUCAGUAGCAGGCCAUGAGUACUUAAGUAUGUUAGACGGAUACUCUGGCUAUAAUCAAAUUUUUAUCGCUGAAGAAGAUGUUCCUAAAACUGCUUUCCGUUGUCCUGGAGCAAUAGGAACAUACAAAUGGGUAGUAAUGCCCUUCGGUUUAAAGAACGCUGGAGCAACUUACCAACGAGCUAUGAAUUCCAUUUUUCAUGACUUCAUUGAAACUUUCAUGCAAGUGUAUAUUGACGACAUUGUGAUUAAGUUUGUUUCAGGGAAAAGUCAUAUAGAUCAUCUUCGACAAUCCUUUGAAAGGAUGAGGAAGUUUGGUUUGAAAAUGAACCCACUUAAAUGUGCUUUUGGUGUGCAGGGCGGUGUGAUUUCUUUAGGCUUUUGUGGUCCACAAGAAGGGGAUCGAAAUAAACGAAAACAAAGCCAAAGCCAUAAUGAAGCGAAAGCGCCAUCAACCAAAAAGGGUUGCAGUCUCUGCUAGGGAAAAAUCAACUUUUCAGAAGAUUCAUCUCCAUCUCAGUGGAAGAUGCAGUUUCUCUCCACUACUUCGACUAAAGAGGAAAGACUUGCAGGGGGCAGGAACAGCAAGUGCCUCGACAAAAUCAAAGAAUACUUGGCUAGUCCCCCAUCCUGAUGUCUCCUUGCAGAAAAGAAGUAUGAGAUUGUACGUUUCGGCAUCAGAAAACAUUAGGAAGUUGUUGUGUCAAGAAGAUGAAAUGGCGUCGAAAGAGCCAUUAUUAUCUCAGUAGAGUCCUGAAUGAUACUGAAACUAGAUAUAGUGUUAUAGAAAAAUAUAUCUAUGUGUAUAUUCUCUUGUAUGAAAUUGAGCAUUAUAUAAAACCUGUUGAUGUAUAUAUUUCCUCCCAUUUCGACGUAAUAAAGUACAUGUUAUCUAAAUCUAUUUUACAUAGUCGAAUUAGAAAAUGGCUCUAGCAUUAAACAGAAUAUUCCUUAAAAUAUAUGCCUUUAAAAGUGUUGAAAGGACAAGUGGUCGCUGAUUUCAUAGCCGACCAUCUAUAGACGAAGAUGUGGAAUAUGUCGAAUUAGAAUCUUGGGACUGUAUUUUCGCGGUUCCAGUGCCAAAUGGAACUGGCGGUGGUGCUAUUUUUCUCCUGACAGAUCCAACAAAUCAAGUACAAGUUGAAAUCUGUGUUCAAAUAAUGAAGCAGAAUAUGAAGCUUUGAUCACUGACUUGAAUCUGUUGAAAUUGGGGGCAACAAGUUCGAAAUAAUGGGUGACUCUGAACUGGUGAUAAAGCAGUUGACGAAAGAGUAUAAAUGCGUGAAAGAAAAUUUAAUCAUGUACUUUGUAUAAGCCAAUAGACUUCUCAGAUUCGACAUGUGGCCCUCAGGCACAUUGUAACACCCGAAUUAAUAAAAGAAUUAUUUAAUUAAGUUAAUAAAUAUUAAUAAUUUAAUUGAAUAAAUGAAUUAUUGGAUAUUAUUAUUAUUAUUAUUAUUAUUUGGAAUAAUAAUUAUUUUGGAAAUAUAAUAAGUGAAUAAGAAAAGGGUUUCAUUUUGGAAAGGUUUCACGUGAAACUCAGAGAAAGCGACUGAAAGAGGCAGAGCAAAGAGAAAGAGCAAGAGAACGAAGUGUGACGAAGAGAAGAGCGUGAAGCUUAAGAUUUGCCGGAUUAUUCAGGUAGGGGGUUUAUCGCGUUUAAUGGUAUUAUCGAUUAACAUGUAAUGGGUAGUGAUAGCCGUCGAUUGACCCUAAUUGGAUUUAGAAUGCUGAGAAAUGUUGAAAGUUGUUAUAAAGCUGAAUUGAAAUUGUUUGAGUGUAUUGUUGGAAUUUCUGAGCGUAUAGGCUUUUACGGAAGUGUGAAUCGGAGGUCCGGAGUCCUCCAACGGCGGAAAAUGCGGAAACUCUGCAUUCUGCCUGUGUUAGCGCAGGAACUGCUGUUUCGCCUGCGUUAACCGGUUAACCAGAGGUGUUAACCGUUAAACUGUUUAUGAAAUUGUGAAAAAUGUUGAGUUUUGCCUGCUUAACCGGUUAACCUAUAGCGUUAACCGGUUAACACUGUGCGUGUUUGCUGGAAGGUAAUUUCCUGCGUAACGGUGUAACUUUAGCGUUAACGUUAACAUGUUGCAGUAUGUAAAAAUGGUUGAUUUUAUGAUGUAAGUGGAAUUGGUGAUUGGGCCUAUUGUAUCCAAUUGGUAUAAUAAUUCGUGGAGUCUAUGUUGCGAAUGUUGAUGCAAUAUGUUUGAUAUGUUUUGUGGGAAAUAUUAAGUUGUGGCUGAUGUGCCAAAGUUGAAUAUAGUUGUUGUUGCUUGAAUGCAUGAGUUGUAGGCUGAUGACAAGUGAUGUUUUAGUUGUGUUGCUGAAAAAGCUGUUAUGUGUCGUGUUAUUAUGUGUGGAACUUAAGUCGUACAUGCCAUAUACUUCAUGCAUGAGUCGGGCUUUGCUCAACCACGUUGGCCUGGAUUGGCAAAUUAUUGGGCUUUGCUCACACCACGUUGGCUGGAUUGGCAAAUAUUUAAGUUGAAAGAUUGAAGCUUUGCCUUUGAUGCCCACUAAACUGGCAUGAUUAUUAGGGAGUUUACUCAUAAUGGUCCACCAUGCAUGAGAGUCGAGUUCAUUUGAGUUUGCAUUCGUGUGGGUUGAAUAAUGAUGUUGAGUUGAAUAUGUCUGCCACCGGAAUGCAUGAUAUGAUUGGGUGAUUACGUGUUUAAGGUUCUUACAUAAUGGCAUUAAUACUUAUAUAUUUGUUAUAUCGAUGAGAAACUCACCCUUACAGUUAUAUUUUUCGAGGUAACGAGCAAUGAGUCGAAUGAGAAGCUAGGUGCUUGGAAGUCUAGUGGUGGUUAGAGGGUCAGAUGCUCUGAUAGAUUACAUACGGGACGGUAUGGUUGAAUUGGAAUAAAUGUUAAUUUGAUAUUACAGAUGUGAAUUUCCGCUUGUUGCGUAUUGUUAAGGUUUUUGUAUGUUGAUAAAUUGAGUAUGACUGCUUUUAUGUUGAAUUUUGUGAAGAAGUUGUUAUGUGACACCCUUGAGUUGCAAUGAUUACUCUGAUAUGUAUGAUUUAAUUGUUGUUGUUUUAAUUAAAUAAUUGGGGUAUUUAGAAGGGUGUUACACACAUUCCCAGGCUGGAAAAUCAAGAGGCGAACGAUCUUGCUCAACUAGCAUCCGGAUAUAAAGUGUCGAAGGAAAAGUUAGAAGAAGCUAUUGAAGUCAGAGGAAGAGUCGUGUCCACCAAGUUGUCCCCAUCAGAUCUGGAGUCAAUAAAAUUAGGAUACGGGGACGAAGAAAACUUUGAGAUAUUCAACAUAGAUGAUUCAGGAGUUACAGACUGGAGAAAGCCUAUCAAGAGUUAUCUACAAGACCCAAAUCAGAAAGCAGAAAGAAAGAUAAAAUACAGAGCUUUGAGUUAUGUACUGUUUGAAAACGAAUUGUUCAAAAAGACUGCAGAAGGAGUUUUGUUGAAAUGCUUAGGUGAAGACGAAGCCUACAUAGCUUUGUCGAAUGUACACAGUGGAGCGUGUGGCGCACACCAAGCAGGUCACAAAAUGAAGUGGUUAUUAUUUCGACAGGGAAUGUAUUGGCCAACAAUGCUGAAAGACUGUGUCGAAUUUGCAAAAGGGUGUCAGGAAUGUCAAGUACAUGCAGGCAUACCUCAUGUCCCUGCAAGUGAGUUGCAUUCAAUUAUAAAGCCGUGGCCAUUUAGAGGAUGGGCUUUGGACUUGAUUGGGGAAAUUCGACCAGCCUCUUCAAAAGGACAAAGGUACGUUUUGGUUGGGAUAGACUAUUUCACUAAAUGGAUUGAAGCCAUACCAUUGGUAAACGUGGAUCAAGAAGCAGUCAUAGACUUUAUCCAAAAGUACAUAAUUUACAGAUUUGGGAUACCUAAAACAAUAACAACAGAUCAAGGAUUUGUGUUCACUGGUAAAAACAUGCAGAAAUUUGCACAAGAAACAGGUUUUAAACUCCUUACUUCGACACCUUACUAUGCUCAAGCAAAUGGGCAGGUUGAAGCAGCCAACAAGGUAGUGAUAAAUUUGAUUAAGAAGCAUGUAGGGAAAAAACCUAGAAAUUGGCAUAAGACUUUAGAUCAAGCCUUGUGGGCUUGUCGAACGUCUCCUAAAGAAGCAACGAAUUCGACUCCAUUUAAGUUGACUUACGGACAUGAUGCAGUUUUACCAAUCGAAAUAUAUUUGCAAUCAGUUAGAGUGCAAA